AGCGGGCACGGGUGAGUAGCUCAUAACUACCUAUACUGAGGAAGUCUCGGGAAACUGAUAAUAAUACCUCAUGGUAUUGUGAUUCCUGCAUGGGAUCACAUUCAAAAGAUUUAUNUGGUAUGGGAUGGGUGUGCGUCUUGAUUUAGCUAGUUGGUAAGGUAACGGUUACAAAGCGAUGAUCAAGUAGGGGCGUGAGAGCGUGAACCCCCAACGGUUACUGAGACAACGGAACCCGAAUCCUACGGGGAGGCAGCCGUAAGGAAUCAUUGGUCAACUGGCACGGAAGUCUGAACCAAGCAUCCCGCGUGCAGGAAGAAAGGGGGUCUGCUUGUAACACUGCUUCUUGAUUGGGACGACACAGAGUAUCAUGCGUCAUCAGUGUUGACGGACCAUUAAGAAUCAAGCACGGUUAAAUCCCGUGCCAAGCAAGCCCGAGGUAAUCACGNGAGUGGUGCCGAGCGUUAUCCGGAAUUAACUGGGUCUACAAGGGUGGUCAGCGGCUGACUNUCAACAGUACCACUGGGGUNGCAAGGGCCGGCACCUCUACAAUCAUGGGGAAUCGGCCCUCGGAACUGGCUNUGACUUGGNAUCCAGGACGGA
rnacentral:rRNA from 1 species